rnacentral:ncRNA from 1 species
UAUGGCAGGUGCCGGUGUCCGCCUCAGCAACCUGCAAAAGUUUCUCGAUAUGGGCAUACGUGAAGUCCACAGCUCGGCCAGCCGGCUAAUCGCUUCGCCGAUGCGCUACCGUAAAGCGGGUGUGUCCAUGUGUUCUGAAGCCGAAACCGACGAGUUCAGCCGCUAUUGUGUUGAUGGCGAUGUGGUGGAGGCAAUGAAAAGCGUGAUGCAGAUGAGCACCGUUCGGGUGGCCUGAAUCACUGACGAUUUUGCCGCGCAGCACGCCGAUCAUUGACGUGGUGUUUGCAAGUACCAAACCCCAGUAUGCUUGCUGGGGUUCUUU